UCAUUCAUACAUACUGAUUGAGAGAAAACCUCUCAAGAACCACCUAGCUAAUCUGUAUAUAAAGGGAUCAAGAAACACUCAUGGGAGUGUAGAACUAUAGGGGCUUGUCCUUGUAAAACUCUGCAGCAUCUUUUUGGCAUCAAGACUAAUUAAAAGAGUAUAUUUGGAAAACCAUCAUGUCAGAAACAUUAAGUACCAUAUUUGAAGAAUCCUCCGCCUCCUCCUCAACCCUAGAAAACUUCCAAGAGGAAGGCGCCCAACAGCUGCAUGAGGCAUAUAUAUGUGAGCUUUGAGAGCUGCACUGAUGGAAAAUCAAACUCGGAAAUUAAUGCAUCAAACCCUCCAUUGCCACCAGGCCUUACAAAACUGAACACAACAAUUAGACUGGGAUUGUACUCUAAAAUGAAAUUUUGUAACAAAGAAAACACCAUCACAAGCGAUAUAGAUCCUGCAGAAACUACACCCAGCAAGAAUGACCCUAAUUCGUCCCGGAGCUUCAAUAAGUCUAUUAAUUUUUCUCGCUUCACGUCUUUCUUUCGCCCGAAUGCCACAUCACCGUCAACGACAACAUCUGAUCAUGAUCAUCAUGAUAUUCAUGAUGAUCAAAAUGAGAUGUUUGCCUUACGUGAGAGGGUUGCUGCUACAGAGAUUCUUGUGGAAAAGCAGCAACUGGAGAUUGAUACUCUACGCCAGGAGGCCACGGAAACAAGAAGUAUGUUGCAAGAGUUAAGGACUCAAAUGGAACAAAUUGUUGAGUCUCAAGCACCAGCUCUGCCACUGCCAGAGGUUGCGGCUUGUGACCUUGUUGAUUUAUUGUCGUUUUUAUUUGGGAAUUUUGUAUUUUUCUUAUCUAACCAGAUAUCUUUAACUUA